UACGUAGGCGGUUUAAUAAGUUGGAUGUGAAAGCCCCGGGCUUAACCUGGGAACUGCAUUCAAAACUGUUUUACUAGAGUGUAUAAGAGGUUAGCGGAAUUCCAGGUGUAGCAGUGAAAUGCGUAGAUAUCUGGAGGAACAUCAGUGGCGAAGGCGGCUGACUGGUAUAACACUGACGCUGAGGUACGAAAGCGUGGGUAGCGAACG
rnacentral:rRNA from 1 species